rnacentral:rRNA from 1 species
GUGAGGAAUAUUGCGCAAUGGAGGCAACUCUGACGCAGCCAUGUCGCGUGCAGGAAGAAGGCGCUACGCGUUGUAAACUGCUUUUAACCGGGAAGAAACCCCAGGACGUGUCCUGGGUUGACGGUACCGGAGGAAUAAGCACCGGCUAACUUCGUGCCAGCAGCCGCGGUAAUACGAAGGGUGCAAGCGUUAUCCGGAUUCAUUGGGUUUAAAGGGUGCGUAGGCGGAGCGUUAAGUCAGUGGUGAAAUCCUGCAGCUUAACUGUAGACUUGCCAUUGAUACUGGCGCUCUUGAGUGCGCUUGAAGUGGGCGGAAUGUGCCGUGUAGCGGUGAAAUGCUUAGAUAUGGCACAGAACACCAAUUGCGAAGGCAGCUCACUAAGGCGAUACUGACGCUGAGGCACGAAAGCGUGGGGAUCGAACAGGAUUAGAUACCCUAGUAGUCC